UACGUAGGGUGCAAGCGUUAAUCGGAAUUACUGGGCGUAAAGCGUGCGCAGGCGGUUUUGUAAGUCUGUCGUGAAAUCCCCGGGCUUAACCUGGGAAUGGCGAUGGAGACUGCAAGGCUAGAGUUUGGCAGAGGGGGGGGUAGAAUUCCACGUGUAGCAGUGAGAUGCGUAGAGAUGUGGAGGAACACCGAUGGCGAAGGCAGCCCCCUGGGUCAAGACUGACGCUCAUGCACGAAAGCGUGGGAGCAAACAGG
rnacentral:rRNA from 1 species